rnacentral:rRNA from 1 species
GGAGUUAGCCGGUGCUUCUUCUGUGAGUGAUGUCCUUCCUGCCGGUUAUUGACCCGCAGGCCUUCUUCCUCACUGAAAGUGCUUUACAACCCGAAGGCCUUCUUCACACACGCGGCAUGGCUGGAUCAGGGUUGCCCCCAUUGUCCAAUAUUCCCCACUGCUGCCUCCCGUAGGAGUCUGGGCCGUGUCUCAGUCCCAGUGUGGCUGAUCAUCCUCUCAGACCAGCUACGGAUCGUCGCCUUGGUGAGCCGUUACCUCACCAACCAGCUAAUCCGACAUAGGCUCAUCCGAUAGCGCGAGGCCCGAAGGUCCCCCGCUUUCCCCCGUAGGGCGUAUGAGGUAUUAGCCUGGGUUUCCCCAGGUUAUCCCCCACUACCGGGCAGAUUCCUAUGCAUUACUCACCCGUCCGCCGCUCGCCACCAGGGAGCAAGCUCCCCGUGCUGCCGCUCGACUUGCAUGUGUAGCUCGCCGCCACGCGUCAUCUGAGCCGAGAAUACAACUACUCGA